GGUCGUGUGACAGCGUUCAGAGUGAGGAACGAAACUGCAGUGAUUCCAAACUCAGAUGAGUGGCUGUGGAUUUGGGCUGUUGUUGUUGUUAUCGCAGUUCUUGUCAUCAUCUUGAUUUGUUUCUUGAGGCAGAAAAAGAAAUGCAGAUGUCUUCAGAGCAUCGCUCAGCGUGAUGAUUCAGAAAACAGGUGAGUGAAUCAAAGCUAGAGAAAGCCUUGAACUGAGUUUGACUGAAUCACUUCAGUUCAUCUGAGACUCUGAAUCUGAAUCAUGUGUUUCUCUCAGGAUCCUGAAUCUGGGGUCCGAAUGAAGCUCAGAUCUGAUCGAUCUGAUUCGCCGAAUCAGUCUGUGUUGAGAAGCUCAGAGUGAGACGAAUCUCUCAGUGACACGAGUAAAGCUGAGAUGAUCCUGAAGGACAUUUAGACAUGGAGCUGUUUGACUGAUCAGAUUCAGAUGUUCGGUCUUCAGGCUGAUCUCAAGGAAUCAGAGGAAUCCUGCUGAUCUUCUUCAGAUCGACCCUCCUUAAGUCUUCUCCUCCUCAAGUCUUCUCCUCCUUAAGUCUUCUCCUCCUCAAGUCUUCUCCUCCUCAAGUCUUCUCCUCCUUAAGUCUUCUCCUCCUCAAGUCUUCUCCUCCUUAAGUCUUCUCCUCCUCAAGUCUUCUCCUCCUCAAGUCUUCUCCUCCUUAAGUCUUCUCCUCCUCAAGUCUUCUCCUCCUCAAGUCUUCUCCUCCUUAAGUCUUCUCCUCCUCAAGUCUUCUCCUCCUUAAGUCUUCUCCUCCUCAAGUCUUCUCCUCCUCAAGUCUUCUCCUCCUUAAGUCUUCUCCUCCUCAAGUCUUCUCCUCCUCAAGUCUUCUCCUCCUUAAGUCUUCUCCUCCUAAAGUCUUCUCCUCCUCAAGUCUUCUCCUCCUUAAGUCUUCUCCUCCUUAAGGUUUCUCCCAACAUGCAGACUUGUCAGUAAAUAAAUGGGGAAAAACAUUCAUUAAAAAGUAAUGCGUUACUUUACUGGUUACUUGAAAAAAAGUAAUAUUAUUACAUACUUGUAAUGCGUUACCCCCAACACUGAAGUUUUUUAGUCUUACAAUAGCCCUAUGAUUUUAGUUUCCCGCAGAAAUUAUGUUGUGUAUUUAUUAAUUUCAGAAUUUAUCUUUUAACUAAUAAAAUCGAUCUAUCUAUAUCUAUCUUUUAUGUGAGUGUGUGUGUGUGGUAUUUGUCACGAUAUGGGACCAAAUGUAGGAAUACCAGUAAAUGUUGACCUUGUGGAC